rnacentral:rRNA from 1 species
UACGUAGGGUGCGAGCGUUAAUCGGAAUUACUGGGCGUAAAGCGUGCGCAGGCGGUUCGCUAAGACCGAUGUGAAAUCCCCGGGCUUAACCUGGGAAUGGCAUUGGAAACUGGCGGGCUUGAGUGUGGCAGAGGGGGGUGGAAUUCCGCGUGUAGCAGUGAAAUGCGUAGAGAUGCGGAGGAACACCGAUGGCGAAGGCAGCCCCCUGGGCUAACACUGACGCUCAGGCACGAAAGCGUGGGGAGCAAACAGG